GUAAUAGCUCACUGGUCGAGUCGGCCUGCGCGGAAGAUGUAACGGGGCUAAACCAUGCACCGAAGCUGCGGCAGCGACGCUGAUGCGUUGUUGGGUAGGGGAGCGUUCUGUAAGCCUGUGAAGGUGUGCUGUGAGGCAUGCUGGAGGUAUCAGAAGUGCGAAUGCUGACAUAAGUAACGAUAAAGCGGGUGAAAAGCCCGCUCGCCGGAAGACCAAGGGUUCCUGUCCAACGUUAAUCGGGGCAGGGUGAGUCGACCCCUAAGG
rnacentral:rRNA from 1 species